GAAGUUUGGAUUGGUAGAGUUGUCAAGAUGGCUGAGCCCUAGGUAAAUGCGUUGCUAUUGAAUCCUAAAAUGGCAUGAAGACUGUCAUUUUCAUAAGGCAAAUUGAACGCUGUGGCCAUGACGGCCAAACUCAAAACAAUGGACCAAGGUGACAGAAGGUAUGAGAGCAAGAGAGCAAUCUUCAGAGCCACUCCUCCAGCUACCUGCCAGCUGCUCAGAGACCCAUCAUCGAGUCUUGCUCCCUCCUCCAGUCCCAAGGCCCACCAGCAUAGCUUUCCCAGAGGUCAGCCACAAAUUCACAUUAAGGAACAAGCAGCCUGCUGGGAAUAUCUUUCCAGUGUCAAGCAACCAUUAAAAGCACUUAAGGAAAUCACAAAAGGGAGGUGAGAGAAUACUUCAAGAACUAUAAGAUGGGGAGGGCAGAAGUAAAUGCCCAUUUCCUACCUUGGAGGAAAAAAACUUGACUUAAAAAGCUAAGUUGGUUCUAGAGAAUGGAUCAGCCUUUGGGAAACUGAAGAAUACUAUCUUCUAACCACUCUCCUGCUGGGGCCAAAAUACUUUAGAGGAUUGGGAAAAUGUUUGCUAACACAGAGCAAAAUGACAUUUCAAGCAACUAUAUAUUUCUAAAAAUUUAUUCAAGGCGAAUUCAUUAUCAUCAGUAAUUACAGUCUUUUCUUUAUCCAAUGAAAACUGCAUCUCUGUGAAGAAGGCAUUUUGGUUCUGUUUUACAGAUGUGGAAAUAGGUUCAGAGAGGUGAAUGACUUGAUUGUUGCUAAAGUCUACAUCUGAUCAACUGUAAACCCAUAUUUUUACAGUGAAAGAAAGCUGGGUUGACUGUGAGUCCUUGCCAGCUCUGUAUCACUCUGACUUGGUAAUUAGUCAGAGUGUGAGCGUUCUGCAGAAUGUGGUAGCUUCUUUGGUCCACCUGAUAUAAAGAAGCAUCAACCCACCUAUCUUAGUUGAAUUAAUACAAACUCUUUGAUGGAUCUUCGAUCUCCUAGUUGUUAAUAGCCACUGAAAAGAAAAGGAAUGGAAACUGAGGUAGGGAAGGUCACUUCCCUCUGAGUUCUAGUAUCCUCAUCUGUAAAAUGGGUCCAAUAAAACCUUUUAACAGA